AACGAACGCUGGCGGCAUGCCUAACACAUGCAGGUCGAACGAGACCUUCGGGUCUAGUGGCGCACGGGUGCGUAACGCGUGGGAACCUGCCCUUAGGUUCGGAAUAACUCCCCGAAAGGGGUGCUAAUACCGGAUAAUGUCUUCGGACCAAAGAUUUAUCGCCUUUGGAUGGGCCCGCGUUGGAUUAGCUAGUUGGUAGGGUAAAAGCCUACCAAGGCGACGAUCCAUAGCUGGUCUGGGAGGAUGAUCAGCCACACUGGGACUGAGACACGGCCCAGACUCCUACGGGAGGCAGCAGUGGGGAAUAUUGGACAAUGGGCGAAAGCCUGAUCCAGCAAUGCCGCGUGAGUGAUGAAGGCCUUAGGGUUGUAAAGCUCUUUUACCCGGGAUGAUAAUGACAGUACCGGGAGAAUAAGCUCCGGCUAACUCCGUG
rnacentral:rRNA from 1 species